UACGUAGGGGGCGAGCGUUGUCCGGAUUUAUUGGGCGUAAAGAGCGUGUAGGCGGCCAGACAAGUCUGCUGUGAAAACUCGAGGCUCAACCUCGAGCUGUCGGUGGAAACUGUCUGGCUAGAGUCCGGAAGAGGAGAGUGGAAUUCCUGGUGUAGCGGUGAAAUGCGCAGAUAUCAGGAAGAACACCCGUGGCGAAGGCGGUUCUCUGGGACGGUACUGACGCUGAGACGCGAAAGCGUGGGAGCGAACAGG
rnacentral:rRNA from 1 species